AUUGAACGCUGGCGGCAGGCCUAACACAUGCAAGUCGAACGAGCGGCGGACGGGUGAGUAAUGUCUGGGGAACUGCCUGAUAGAGGGGGAUAACUACUGGAAACGGUAGCUAAUACCGCAUACCCUCAGAUGAACCCAGAUGGGAUUAGCUGGUAGGUGGGGUAAAGGCUCACCAAGGCGACGAUCUCUAGCUGGUCUGAGAGGAUGACCAGCGACACUGGUACUGAGACACGGCCCAGACUCCUACGGGGGGCAGCAGUGGGGAAUAUUGCACAAUGGGCGCAAGCCUGAGGCAGCCAUGCCGCGUGUAUGAAGAAGGCCUUCGGGUUGUAAAGUACUUUCAGCGGGGAGGCGUUACCCGCAGAAGAAGCACCGGCUAACUCCGUGCCAGCAGCCGCGGUAAUAC
rnacentral:rRNA from 1 species